rnacentral:rRNA from 1 species
AAAUCUUACCGGGUCCGGACACACUGAGGAUUGACAGGUGAUAUUAUAAUAGUUUUUGUUGUUGUUGUUAUUUAUAUUACAACAAGAAUAAAAAUUACUUAUAUGCAAAUAUGCUAGUCCUUUCAUGAUUAUGUGAUAGGUGGUGCAUGGCCGUUCUUAGUUCGUGGACAAGUUAAAAGCGAUUCCAACAUAUAAGACUAUUGUUCAUCAGGAAUUUUUUGCUGUUCAAGUUAUAUGUUUAAAGGAAGUAUAUUGUUAUUAUUAUUAUUAUUAUUAUUAUUAUUAUUAUAUUAGUAUAUGGUGAUGAUGAAAUGAAGAGAGAGGAAGUUAUAUGUAUGUAUAAUUUCUUUUUACUUUAUAUGUAUAUAUUUAUUAUUAUUAAUAUUUGUGUAUGUAUAAUAUAAACACUCAAAGGCUUAAAACUAGAGGGACAGCUGUUUUAAGAUAUAGCAAUAUAUUAUAACUUAAAUUGGAGGAAGUAGCGGCAAUAA